rnacentral:rRNA from 1 species
UACAGAGGGGGCGAGCGUUGUUCGGAAUUACUGGGCGUAAAGGGCGCGUAGGCGGCCUUCUAAGUCGAACGUGAAAUCCCCGGGCUCAACCCGGGAACUGCGUCCGAUACUGGGAGGCUUGAAUCCGGGAGAGGGAUGUGGAAUUCCAGGUGUAGCGGUGAAAUGCGUAGAUAUCUGGAGGAAUACCGGUGGCGAAGGCGGCAUCCUGGACCGACAUUGACGCUGAGGAGCGAAAGCUAGGGGAGCAAACGGG